GACGAACGCUGGCGGCGUGCUUAACACAUGCAAGUCGAACGCUGAAGCUCAGCUUUUGUUGGGUGGAUGAGUGGCGAACGGGUGAGUAACACGUGAGUAACCUGCCUCCUUCUUUGGGAUAACGCCCGGAAACGGGUGCUAAUACUGGAUAUUCACUGGUCUUCGCAUGGGGGUUGGUGGAAAGGGUUUUUCUGGUGGGGGAUGGGCUCGCGGCCUAUCAGCUUGUUGGUGGGGUGAUGGCCUACCAAGGCUUUGACGGGUAGCCGGCCUGAGAGGGUGACCGGUCACAUUGGGACUGAGAUACGGCCCAGACUCCUACGGGAGGAAGCAGGGGGGAAUAUUGCACAAUGGGCGCAAGCCUGAUGCAGCGACGCCGCGUGAGGGAUGGAGGCCUUCGGGUUGUGAACCUCUUUCGCUCAUGGUCAAGCCGCAACAAUGGUUGUGGUGAGGGUAGUGGGUAAAGAAGCGCCGGCUAACUACGUG
rnacentral:rRNA from 1 species